CUGGUUUCACGAUGAUGCCAUGGUGUAGUAGUUUAGAUAACCAGGAUUCGGAGGUACACAAUGUAGGCUCCUAUUCUGGAUCAAUGCAUCCAUGUGAACUCCAGGCAGCUCCACAAACUGGGUGCAGAACUUGUGAGGAGUCGGGGUUUCUCCUGUAGCAAGAACUGCAGGUAUAUGCAGUGGUAAUGGGUCUGUGAGGGGCCUCCUGCUUACCUUUUUCCCAAAAGGGAAUGUUUGUCUUAGUUCUGAGUCACUCUUGGCAAGAAAAAUGGGGCGGCAGAGACAGGGUACUUUGUUUCCUCUCUCUUUGUUCUAUGCUGGCAUCCUUUGUCUCUGUGCUACACAGGGAUUCUGCCAGUUGCUUGCUGUACUCCAGCACUCUUUUGCAGAUAUUCUGGACAAAUUUUAGUUGCUUGUUUCUUGUUUUUGUUCUUAUUUUGUGCCGAAGAUGAGUGCCAGGCACCUUUCAUCAGCCAUCUAGCUGACCACAGGGAAAAGAUGGGAUUGUCCUGUGCUUACCUCAAGCCUAGUGAGAAUGGUUUCAUGGAGGCCUCUCAGUGUGCUUGAUAUAUAUCCCCUGCAGAUACAUAGAGAACAAUGGACUAGUGUCUGACACGGAUCCUGAAAUCUAAAAGUGUGAAUGUAUGGCAAUGAACCUGAGCUGGCAGAGAAGAGAUUCUGUUGCACUGGGAAAUAGCUACUCUUCGGAUGGAAGGGGAUUAGUGGCAUGGGGUAUGUGUGUGUUUCAUAGAACAGAAGUGGCAUAUGCAGAAGAGAAAGGCUACAAAACAUCAUUUAGUAUUCUGCCCCAAAGGACCAACUAUAAAGAUACCUGUGACCCAUCAGAAACAGUCUGGAAAAGAGGAAAAUGGAAGUAAUAUUUUUUUUAAAAACUGAGUAACAGAGAAAGAGGUGUAAAUGCACUACUCAUUAUCACCAAGAACGCAGCUGGUUGCUGCAGAGCAAGUCCUCUGAAGCACCCAUGGAGACUCUUCUCAAGAGAAAGACUCAACUUUAAAGACUUACCUUGCACAAAAAAGCACAAAUCCACCCCUAGAGUUUUCUCAGACUGGUGUGAACCUCACAUUCCCCUUACCUCUUCUCUCUACCCCAACUUAGACACUGAUAGAAUGAAAAAUUGUGGUUAUUAGUGUGAAGGAAGAGAAGAAAUAAUAGGAACAAGAAAAGAGAAACAGCCAACUAUAUCCCCAUCCCUGAGGGGAUUACAGUGGUACCUACAUACAUGUAACCAGCCCUAGCUGGUCUGUGUUACCUGUGAAUAAAAAUUUAAAUUGAUCAAUACUUUGGGCAAUUACAUUACUUGUAAUUACUGACUUGAUUUAGAAGGACGCUAGCAUUUCUUUAAAGUGAUGGGAAAUUCCUGAGUUCCCGUGAGUCUUUAUCCAGUGGCAAAAUGAGAACUAAUGCAGUAAAACAUUUGCAAGACAGAAGGGGGCAAAAAAUGAAAAUAUAUUUUGCAUAUAUCCCAUAAGUCCUGCUCCUUUACAAUAACAAGUUUAAAUUAGGGUUUCAAAUAUAUUUAAUUUCACUUUCUGAUUACCCAAAUCUUAGCUCAUUAUGAUCUUUUCAAAGAUAUUAUUUUCUGAUCAUUAAAGCUACAUAGCUACCCUUCUUAGCUCUCUAUCACAUUGCUUGUUUGAUAACAGUUGUUGAGCUCCAAAAUAAUCUUUCUCAGGUAGCUUUUCAUUGUCCUUCUCACGUUUCCCAGUAGAAUGUAAGUUCCUAUGAAGAAGGAACCACCUGGGUGACAGAAUAAUUCAUACCCCUAACUUCAGUGUCAUACAUAUUUACACAUACAUAUUUGUGUGACAAACCUGCACAUGAACCCCUUGAACCUAAAAUAAAAGUUUAAAUAAAAAUAUUUAAAAAC
rnacentral:lncRNA from 10 species